CAUCGAUGAAGAACGCAGCGUAGCCACAUCGAUGUGGAAGUAAAAGUCGUAACAAG
rnacentral:misc_RNA from 1 species